ensembl:lncRNA
GUAGGAUACGUGAUGAUAAACUUGGUCAUGUGACCCACAGGCAUGCACCGUGCAAGACUCCGACGCUCCAGAGGCAAAGCAGGCCGGUACUCGAUCUGAGCUGGAAGAAUGACAGGAAGUGGGAGGAGUCAGUCAGGGGUUAGGACUUAAUAUUUUGUUAAAAAUAACAUAUAAACAUGGACCAAUCCCGUCUCUCUGGAGAUGGGGAUUAAGGUUUAAGAGUGGAACUGUGUAUUAGAUGUGAUUUGGAUGAUGCGAUCGUUCCAGUCCUCGGGUCCUGAGAGAAGCGAUGCCCUCUGAGGCGAGUGCGCUGUGGGAUGAUUUAAACAUGAGGUUCGCAAUGGUGAUAAACUGGUGGCUAUAAACCUCCCAGAUCUGUAAACUACGUUAGCAUCAUAUCCUGAAUGCAGAAUUACGGAAGCAAAUGUUGUGGAUCAAAUAUCUGAGAGGGACAGAGAGACAGAGGGAAAGUAAGGGAGAGAGAGACAGGGGGAAAGGUAAGGGAGAGAGAGACAGAGGGAAAGGUAAGGGAGAGAGAGACAGAGGGAAAGUAAGGGAGAGAGAGACAGGGGGAAAGUAAGGGAGAGAGAGACAGAGGGAAAGGUAAGGGAGAGAGAGACAGGGAUAGGUAAGGGAGAGAGAGAGAAGGGGAAAGUAAAUGAGAGUGAGACAGGGGGAAAGUAAGGGAGAGAGAGACAGGGGGAAAGGUAAGGGAGAGAGAGACGGGGAAAGGUAAGGAAGAGAGAGAGACGGGGGAAAGUAAAUGAGACUGAGACAGGGGGAAAGUAAGGGAGAGAGAGACAGGGGGAAAGUAAAUGAGACUGAGACAGGGGUAAGUAAGGGAGAGGGAGACAGGGGAAAGUAAGUGAGAGAGAGACAGGGAGAAAGUAAGUGAGAGAGAGACAGGGGGAAGUAAGUGAGAGAGAGACAGGGAGAAAGUAAGGGAGAGAGAGACAGGGGGAUAGUAAGUGAGAGAGAGACAGGGGGAAGUAAGUGAGAGAGAGACAGGGAGAAAGUAAGGGAGAGAGAGACAGGGGGAUAGUAAGUGAGAGAGAGACAGGGGGAAAGUAAGGGAGAGAGAGACAGGGGGUAAGUAAGGGAGAGAGAGACAGGGGGAUAGUAAGUGAGAGAGAGACAGGGGGAAGUAAGUGAGAGAGAGACAGGGAGAAAGUAAGGGAGAGAGAGACAGGGGGAUAGUAAGUGAGAGAGAGACAGGGGGAAAGUAAGGGAGAGAGAGACAGGGGGGUAAUAAGGGAGAGAGAGACAGGGGGAAAGUAAGGGAGAGAGAGACAGGGGGAUAGUAGUGAGAGAGAGACAGGGGGAUAGUAAGUGAGAGAGAGACAGGGGGAAAGUAAGUGAGGGACACAAGAGAAAGCGACAGUGAGAGACAGACAGACAGGCAUUGGAGAGAGAUACAAAAAGACAUAGAAAGGAAGAGGAGACCGCGAGAGGAGGGGAACACUGAGGGAGAGAAACGGAGAGAGAUGAGAGAGACACACAGAGAGACAAAGACAGACACAGAGAGAUACAGAAAAAGAAAGAGAUACACCGGGUGAGAAAGACUCCGAGAGAGAGAGAGACACGAGUGAAAGAGCCUGAGGAAAAAAACGGAGGAAAAAGAAACGGUGAAAAGACACAGAUGGAGAGAUAUGAUAGAUUCACCAGAGAGAGAGAGAGAGAGAGAGAGAGAGAGAGAGAGAGAGAGAGAGCUGCAGUAUGAGGACAUUAUGGUGUAUGAGAGCAGACGUCUCGCAGCACUCUGAUCAGCUCGUCUUAUCGAUCUGAGUGCCGCGCUCUCUCAUAAGACAGCACUCUGCUAAAUUG